CAGAAGGCAGUGGCUUGAGGGGGGGGGACGAGCGGUUGUAUGUUUAUUGCAGGGCAUUGCGAUCUGGCAUCCCAACUCCCGAGCCGUCGGCUACCGAUUCACCUUUAGACAGUCCUGGAAAACCCAGCUAGAGAAUCUUGGCGCUGCUCCCUUCAGACAAGCGAUUGUAAAUAUAGCCUGGAUGUUGUUUACAUGAAACAUCCAGAGGGAGGAGCGUAGGAAGGAGGAGGAAGAGGAAGAGCAAGGAGCCUGCGAGGGUGGCUGGGCAAUAUUACAACCAUCAUCUGGCGAGAGAGAAAGAGGAAAGCAAGCAAGCAAGCAAGCAAGCCAGAAAGGUAGAUCUAGAAAAAUGGAGCUACACAGACAUAAAAAGGAAUUUGGGGCCACUGUUAAUUUUUAAUUUAACUUAAAACGUUGAAUGUUGGCAUUAAAGAUAGAUUCUGGGUUCAAACAAAUUGAAGGUCUGGGCUUUAAAAUAUUCAAAAGAACUCAGAAAACACAGAGCAGAAGUCUGGCUCUUUAACCUUAUGAAGAAAAUGUGUUGGGUUUAAUGGCACUUAUUGAAUGUCUGUUCUCUGAACUAUGGUGUUGCUGUGAUUAAAUCUUCAUUUUUCUUCUAUUUAUCAGUUUUGAGGCUAUAGAUUUUUUUUUAUUUCAUCAUACCCGUAGCUCUUUGAGUUCUGCAUUUAUAUCGCAUACUGUGGGAACAGACUACUGGGAAUCCUCCUACUCAAACCUCAUUGAAAUGAGCUACUAAUUUCAGUUGCACACAAGUUCCUAGUAUUUAAUACUUUUAAAUCAAGAUGACAGUUGUUUCUCAUCAUGUUUGUCAUGCACCUCUUUCUUAUAAGUGCAACAACUGGUUACUGCAAAGACUGAACAAGGAGACACUGCCAUGGUCAAAUGUGGAUCUACAAACCUGCUGAAAAUCAAUGCAUAAAUUUUGUAGCAGCUUAGGAGCGCUCCUUGACCCAGAGCUGUCCCUGGAGACCCAGGUGGUGUGCAGCUGCAAGGCAAUCCAAAUCAUUCACCUCAGUUUUUAACCAACUGCUUAAUGUUAGACAUAAUGCUAAGCUGUGGUUAACUGAAAAUGGAAGUGAAAGCUACUGAUGUCCUUGUGGCCACUCUGGAGGAGGAGAGGACAGGACAGCAUGAGCCUGAGGAUCUUUGAUGCCAUGCUAAGCUGUAGUAUAGCACAGUGCUUUGCAAUGUUAAAUGCUUCCAUCUUCUGAUAUAAUCCUAAGCAGCUGGGAGAAAGGAUACAUAGAUAACAACUGCAGCAUGAUUGAGGAGGUACCCUGCAGAGUGUGAACAUAAAUUCCAUUGCUGACAAAAAAAGUGUUACAAAAGUAAAGGGUAAGUGAAGGCUUAAGGAAUCAGUGAGACCUUACCACUACCAGCUUUUUGCCAAGGAAUGGAAGAAAAACCUUUCUUCUGCCCCUUACCUGCUUCUUGCUUUACGGUUCAUCGUACGUUGUAGAGAUAACAUAAAAUGAUUUCCUAUUUUUGACCAUAGAUACAUCCUAGACUCUCUAGUGACAAAUCUUGCAAAUGAUUUUUUCUCUCCAUUUUUUCAUGUUAAGGCUUCAGAUCAGAACCUGCUGAUAUUCAGUGCAUGUCUAAGCUUGUGCAUGCAAUUCAUAUACUAGGGCCUAUUGGACAUGUGCUUGUUGCACACUCUGCAGUUGAUCAGUAUAGGUAUCAAAAAUGCAUACACUUUGCAAUCUCAAAGACAAAAUGCUAUGGCAAUGAAACAAACUGAUGGUAUUACCUGAUGGAACUGGUGAUAAGCGUUAUAAUGCAUCAUAUCUCACACUUUCAGGUGUUCAGUGCAGAGGUAUCUCUCUUGUAGUUUUGUUGAUGCUGGUCAGCAUACAGAGGAGUGAUUCACACAUGUAAGACUGUUUCCGUGCACAGAUUGUCCUCAGUGAAUCAGUGCUUUUCUAAAUACUAGUAUGGCUAUCACUCCCACAUGUGUAAAAAUCCCUUAAAGCAGAUAUCUGAAUUUCAGAUAACUGGAAUGAUUGUGCAAAUAUAUGACACUGCAUGGAUUGUUUCAAAUUUAGCUAAUUAUUUACCAUCAAUGCCUCCUCUCCCAACAGGUAAUUAUUGUCUGAACUGAAUGCAGCACCCAUCUAUUCCUUGGUGAGGAGGAGUGAGGGGAACAGCUGUUUAUAUAGGAGUCUCUAACUGGGAGUUACAAUAUUACAUGACUAUCUCCACUUAUAUUAACAUUUGGGGGGGGUCAUCAGAAAAAUUGGGUACAUAGGGUUUGUCAAACCAGGUCCCAAGACUCAAUAAUUGAAUGCAUGGAGCUUCAGAUUCUGCUCUGUAAAUGAUUCUUGCUUCUUAUGUAACAUUUGUUUGUGGCUUGUUUUUAAAAUGUUAAAAGUAUUUUUCCAAGAAGUUUUUGUCUCAUUAUUGCCCAUGUGCAUGUGUGUUUUUAAAAAAGCAAGCUCGGUAUAUGCAAAAACGCAGUAGAUGAUUUCCUGUGUACUACUUAAUAACUUCUGUGAUUUCAGUAUCGAAUGUACAAAAUUCACUGCUUUUUACAGAAUUAAUUUUCAACCUGAGAUACAGUUUUUAUUUAUAUAUCUAUUUAUUUAUUUGCAGCACAGUCCAUUCACUUUCUAGAGGUACUAAUUUAGCAUUUUAUAUUCUGGAUCUAAAUGUCAAAGAACAUUGUAGCCUGAGGGUACAAUCUGCAUCUUACUUGAAGUUACUGGCUAAGCAGCCAUUGAUCUGAGUGGUUGGGUUGCAUCAUAAAUCACUUAUAUAAGCAGCCUUAUUAUGUAAUUCUUCUUUAGGUUUUGUCUUAAUCUCAAAAAUGUCAUCAUUUAUCUGCAGGUUAUCUUUCUAGUUCUGCUUGUGUUUCACUAAUUAUUAAAUUGCUUUCUUCAGUGGA